GCCUGGGUGGCUCAGUCCGUUGAGCGUCCGACUUCGGCUCAGGUCAUGAUCUCGUGGUCUGUGGGUUCGAGCCCCACGUCAGGCU
rnacentral:tRNA from 1 species